GUGACACUCUGGGUUCUGGCGAACGGAGGGACUGGGAACGGGUCCACUGCCCUUUGAUCCCCAGAGUCACCUCCCUUUUCUAUCCCAGCACCCCGGGCUUCUCCGGGGUUCACGGUGAGAGGCGGGUCCGGCCGGGGCGGAGGGACGGGGACGUAGGUGGACGUGUAAAACCGUGUUCCGUGAUCCCGCUCACCACGCGAGUCUCCGAACGGGGUGGAGGGUCGUGUCCCUGUCCUUGGUCCCAGCCUCCGCCGUAGGAAGUGCCGUCUCCCUGCAGAGACAGCCGCGGAUCCUUGGUUUCUGCAUUGGGAUGAGAUACCUAUGGGUCCGAGAGGCGGCAGCCUGCGUGCCCCGUCCUCGUCCCUGGUUUUCACCCCCAAGGGGUCGGGGACCAAUGACUCUAGUCUAAUUUCUGUGCUCCCGGGCUUACCCCAUUUCCUUUCCUUCUGGCGAGGGUUUUUUUCCCUGGUGAUCUCGAGGUGUAAAAUGAGGAAGACCCCAGAGGCUACCAAGAUCCACGUUUUGUUUUGUUGUUUAGCGGACAAGUUUGUUAAGCCUCGUGUUUACAGAUCAUACAUACACUUCACCCUCUUCCUUUCAGUUUCUGAAGUUUCUGAAGGCUUUUUAAAAGGAGUGAUUUCUGAUAGAACACCAGGAUAGCAAAAAUGGAGCUCAUAAAACAUGUAGGACAAAAAGGAAAGUCCUGCAGACAGACCCUAUUUGGAUUAAGUGACCCAGUUCUUUGAACCUGAACAAUGACUGCUGAAUCCAGGAAUGCUGCAGAUUUGUCUCCUAAGGAUACCCGAGAGAUGGAAGGCAUAGUGAUAGUAAAAGUGGAGGAGGAAGGGACAGAUGAUGAAGAAGACCGUUUUCCAACAGAAAGAAGUAACACAGAGUUAUCACCCCAAUUUCUUAGUCGUUCCACAACUAUGAACGAGAGAGCCUUGUUAUCAUCAUAUUUAGUGGCAUAUCGAGUGGCAAAAGAAAAAAUGGCUCAUACAGCUGCUGAAAAAAUUAUUCUCCCAGCAUGUAUGGAUAUGGUACGUACCAUCUUUGACGAUAAAUCAGCUGACAAAUUAAGAACUAUACCUCUUAGUGAUAAUACAAUAUCUCGUCGAAUCUGUACUAUUGCAAAACAUUUAGAAGCAAUGCUUAUGACACGGCUACAGUCUGGUAUCGAUUUUGCAAUCCAACUCGAUGAGAGCACUGAUACGGCUAGUGGUCCCACACUCUUGGUAUAUGUCAGAUAUAUGUGGCAAGAUGAUUUUAUAGAAGAUCUGUUGUGUUGUUUAAAUUUAAAUUCACAGGUAACCGGAUUAGAUGUAUUCACUGAAUUAGAUAAGUGUGUUGUUGGUCGAUAUAAAUUAAACUGGAGAAACUGUAAAGGAAUCUCAAGUGAUGGAGCAGCAAAUAUGACUGGGAAACAUAGCAGACUUCUUGAAAACUUGUUAGAAGCCACCCACAACAACGCUCUUUGGAAUCAUUGUUUUAUUCACAGAGAAGCUUUGGUAUCCAAAGAAAUUCCGCCGAGCCUAAUGGACGUGUUGAAAAAUGCAGUGAAAAUUGUUAAUUUUAGUAAAGGAAGCUCAUUGAAUAGCCGACUUCUUGAAAUAUUUUGUUCAGAGAUCGGAGAGAACCAUACCCACUUACUAUUUCAUACAGAAGUUCGUUGGUUGUCUCAAGGAAAAGUAUUGAGCAGAGUAUAUGAACUCAGGCAUGAGAUUUACAUUUUUCUCAUUGAAAAGCAAUCUCAUUUGGCAAAUAUUUUUGAAGAUGAUGUUUGGGUAUCAAAAUUGGCAUACUUAAGUGAUAUUUUUGGCAUUUUAAAUGAAUUAAGUUUGAAACUACAAGGGAAAAACAAUCAUAUAUUUCAGUAUCUUGAACACAUUCGAGGAUUCCAAAAGAUGUUAUUGUUAUGGCAAACUAGACUUAAAAGUAAUCGUCCUAGCUACUAUAUGUUCCCUACAUUGUUGCAACACAUCGAAGAGAACAUUAUUAAUGAAGAAUGCUUAAAGGUAAUAAAAUCAGAGAUAUUAAUACACCUCACUUCUUUGUCUCAAACCUUUCAUCAUUACUUUCCAGAAGAGAAAUUUGCAUCAUUAAAGGAAAAUAUCAGGAUAAAAGAUCCAUUUGCUUUUCAAACCCCAGAAUCAAUCCUUGAGUUAAAUUUGGUGCCUGAAGAAGAGAAUGAAUUAUUGCAGCUCAGUUCGUCAUUCACGCUGAGGAAUUAUUACAAGACAUUAAGUUUAUCAGCAUUCUGGAUUAAGAUUAAAGAGGAAUUUCCACUGCUAAGUAGAAAGAGUAUAUUGCUAUUAUUACCAUUCACACCUACCUAUUUGUGUGAACUAGGAUUUUCGAUCUUGACACGAUUAAAAACAAAAAAAAGAAAUAGGCUUAAUAGCGCACCUGACAUGCGUGUGGCCUUAUCCUCGUGUGUGCCUGACUGGAGCGAACUGAUGAACAGGCAAGCACACCCAUCACAUUAAAUACUAUCUUUAUGAACUCAGGUUUCUGUACUUUCAUAGGUAUCCUUCGUGUAUUGUAUUUAAGUAUUAAUAAGAUUGUGAUUGGGAUUUACUAGGUUUCAUUUUCCUAUAUAGUAAGUAUUGCUCUUUGACAUUGUUUGUUACAUGAAUGUAUGUGUAUGCAGGAUAAUGAUGUAAAAUAUAUUUCUACGAAUUACCAUCAAUUUUUUAAAAUAGUGCUCUUAACACUCUUAGUUUUACACUCAAAUCUGUCACCUUGUCUACUGCUGCUGCCUUGCUUCUUGUAGGCAAAGCCCCUUUCAGGUUCAGUUUCUCACCAUCUAUGUGCCUAUGUGCUCUUCCUUGUCUGAUUUUUGUUUAUUGGCUGCAUUGGGGUGUUUUUUUGGGUAGUGCCACAGAGAUUGUGAGAUUGUAGUUCCCUAACCAGGGAUCAAACUCAGGUCUCCUGCCUUACAAGGCAGAUUCUUAACCACUGAAUGACCAGGGAAGUCACAGUUCGUUUUUGCUAUUAUUUUCUGUUUUAAAAAAUUCAGCUUUAUUGAGAUAUGAUUUACUUCUAGUAAAAUUCACCCCUUUUGGUAUAUGGUUUGUUGAGUCUUGACAGAGGUAUACAAUUGUGGAACCACCCCUACAAUCAAGAUAUAAAACAUAUCCUUCAUCCCCAAAAGAUCUUUCAUGGCUUUGUUGUCAGUCCUUCUCUUGUACUACUGAUGGUUUUGUCUUUUCCAGAACGUCAUGUAUUUGGCUUUUUUCUCUUAGCAUAAUGCUUUUGCAAUCUAUCCAUAUUAUCGUAUGCAUUGGUAGUUUAAUAGUGACUAAUGUACCAUUGUAUGUAUGUGUAUCAAUUAGCUUAUCAAUUCUUCAGUUGAUAGACAUUUAGUUUUUUCAAAUUUUUUAUUUGUUUUUUAUGAACAAAGCUGCUAUAAAUAUUUGUAUACAGGAAUUUGUGUGGACAUAUUUCUUUGGUAACAGCUAGCAGUGGGAUUAUUGGCUCAUAUGGUAAAUAUACAUUUAAUUUUAUGCAUUUUCUCCAGCAGUGUGUGAAAUUUAUAGUUCCUCUAUAUCUGAGUCAGCAUUUUGUAUUGUCAGGUUUCUAUUUUAGCUAUUGUAUUAAGUUUAAUAGUAUCUCAUUAUAGCAUUAAUUUCCAUUUCCCUAAUGGACAAUCAUUUGAGCAUCUUUUCACAUAUUUAUGGCUGUGCAUGUCUUCCUUUGGUGAAGUUCAAAUCUGUUGCACAUUUUAAAAUUCAAGUGUCUUAUGAAUAAGAAUUAUUUUUAUAUAUUGUUUUCAAAUGAUCACACCCGUGUUUUACAAAUGUUUUCUCCCAGUCUGUGGCUUCUUUUUUCAUUUUCUUAACAGUGUUUGAAGAGCAAAAUUUUAAAAUUUUGAUCAACUUCAGUUAUCAAGUUUUUUUCUUAUAUGGUUCAUUCUUUGUGUGUUCUGCCUAAGAA
rnacentral:lncRNA from 1 species